UACAGAGGUCUCAAGCGUUGUUCGGAUUCAUUGGGCGUAAAGGGUGCGUAGGCGGCGCGGUAAGUCGGGUGUGAAAUCUCGGAGCUUAACUCCGAAACUGCAUUCGAUACUGCCGUGCUUGAGGACUGGAGAGGAGACCGGAAUUUACGGUGUAGCGGUGAAAUGCGCAGAUAUCAGGAGGAACACCGGUGGCGAAGGCGGAUCUCUGGGCCUUACCUGACGCUCAGGUGCGAAAGCUAGGGGAGCGAACAGG
rnacentral:rRNA from 1 species